CCAUAGCCCCGAUAGGAGUGAAAAUCCUUUGCUUUGAAAGGAGUCAAAAGCAAAGAUUGCUGCGCAUAGCGGGACGUAAG
rnacentral:sRNA from 1 species